GGCCUCGUAACUCAAUGGUUAGAGUGUCACCCUUCUACUACUGAUGUUCCAGGUGAAAGCUUCGAGUUCGAGUCUCGACUGGGCCC